rnacentral:rRNA from 1 species
UACGUAGGCAGCAAGCGUUGUUCGGAAUUACUGGGCGUAAAGCGUGUGUAGGCGGGUCGUUAAGUACCUUGUGAAAUCCCAUGGCUCAACCAUGGAACUGCUGGGUAUACUGGCGAUCUUGUGCAACCUAGGGGCGAGCGGAACAGAUGGUGGAGCGGUGAAAUGCGUAGAUAUCAUCUGGAACGCCAAUGGUGAAAACAGCUCGCUGGGGGUUUGCAGACGCUGAGACACGAAAGCCAGGGGAGCGAACGGG